UACAGAGGUCUCAAGCGUUGUUCGGAAUUAUUGGGCGUAAAGAGCUCGUAGGCGGUCUGUUACGUCCGCUGUGAAAACCCAGGGCUUAACCCUGGGCUUGCAGUGGAUACGGGUAGACUAGAGGCAGGUAGGGGAGAAUGGAAUUCCCGGUGUAGCGGUGAAAUGCGCAGAUAUCAGGAGGAACACCGGUGGCGAAGGCGGGUCUCUGGGCCGAUACUGACGCUGAGGAGCGAAAGCGUGGGGAGCGAACAGG
rnacentral:rRNA from 1 species